rnacentral:rRNA from 1 species
ACUAAGCGUACACGGUGGAUGCCCUGGCAGUCAGAGGCGAUGAAGGACGUGCUAAUCUGCGAUAAGCGUCGGUAAGGUGAUAUGAACCGUUAUAACCGGCGAUUUCCGAAUGGGGAAACCCAGUGUGAUUCGUCACACUAUCAUUAACUGAAUCCAUAGGUUAAUGAGGCGAACCGGGGGAACUGAAACAUCUAAGUACCCCGAGGAAAAGAAAUCAACCGAGAUUCCCCCAGUAGCGGCGAGCGAACGGGGAGGAGCCCAGAGCCUGAAUCAGUGUGUGUGUUAGUGGAAGCGUCUGGAAAGGCGCGCGAUACAGGGUGACAGCCCCGUACACAAAAAUGCACAUGCUGUGAGCUCGAUGAGUAGGGCGGGACACGUGGUAUCCUGUCUGAAUAUGGGGGGACCAUCCUCCAAGGCUAAAUACUCCUGACUGACCGAUAGUGAACCAGUACCGUGAGGGAAAGGCGAAAAGAACCCCGGCGAGGGGAGUGAAAAAGAACCUGAAACCGUGUACGUACAAGCAGUGGGAGCACGCUUCGGCGUGUGACUGCGUACCUUUUGUAUAAUGGGUCAGCGACUUAUAUUCUGUAGCAAGGUUAACCGAAUAGGGGAGCCGAAGGGAAACCGAGUCUUAACUGGGCGUUAAGUUGCAGGGUAUAGACCCGAAACCCGGUGAUCUAGCCAUGGGCAGGUUGAAGGUUGGGUAACACUAACUGGAGGACCGAACCGACUAAUGUUGAAAAAUUAGCGGAUGACUUGUGGCUGGGGGUGAAAGGCCAAUCAAACCGGGAGAUAGCUGGUUCUCCCCGAAAGCUAUUUAGGUAGCGCCUCGUGAAUUCAUCUCCGGGGGUAGAGCACUGUUUCGGCAAGGGGGUCAUCCCGACUUACCAACCCGAUGCAAACUGCGAAUACCGGAGAAUGUUAUCACGGGAGACACACGGCGGUGCUAACGUCCGUCGUGAAGAGGGAAACAACCCAGACCGCCAGCUAAGGUCCCAAAAGUCAUGGUUAAGUGGGAAACGAUGUGGGAAGGCCCAGACAGCCAGGAUGUUGGCUUAGAAGCAGCCAUCAUUUAAAGAAAGCGUAAUAGCUCACUGGUCGAGUCGGCCUGCGCGGAAGAUGUAAACGGGGCUAAACCAUGCACCGAAGCUGCGGCAGCGACACUAUGUGUUGUUGGGUAGGGGAGCGUUCUGUAAGCCUGCGAAGGUGGCCUGUGAGGGUUGCUGGAGGUAUCAGAAGUGCGAAUGCUGACAUAAGUAACGAUAAAGCGGGUGAAAAGCCCGCUCGCCGGAAGACCAAGGGUUCCUGUCCAACGUUAAUCGGGGCAGGGUGAGUCGACCCCUAAGGCGAGGCCGAAAGGCGUAGUCGAUGGGAAACAGGUUAAUAUUCCUGUACUUGGUGUUACUGCGAAGGGGGGACGGAGAAGGCUAUGUUGGCCGGGCGACGGUUGUCCCGGUUUAAGCGUGUAGGCUGGUUUUCCAGGCAAAUCCGGAAAAUCAAGGCUGAGGCGUGAUGACGAGGCACUACGGUGCUGAAGCAACAAAUGCCCUGCUUCCAGGAAAGCCUCUAAGCAUCAGGUAACAUCAAAUCGUACCCCAAACCGACACAGGUGGUCAGGUAGAGAAUACCAAGGCGCUUGAGAGAACUCGGGUGAAGGAACUAGGCAAAAUGGUGCCGUAACUUCGGGAGAAGGCACGCUGAUACGUAGGUGAAGUCCACUGCGCGGAUGGAGCUGAAAUCCAGUCGAAGAUACCAGCUGGCUGCAACUGUUUAUUAAAAACACAGCACUGUGCAAACACGAAAGUGGACGUAUACGGUGUGACGCCUGCCCGGUGCCGGAAGGUUAAUUGAUGGGGUUAGCGGUAACGCGAAGCUCUUGAUCGAAGCCCCGGUAAACGGCGGCCGUAACUAUAACGGUCCUAAGGUAGCGAAAUUCCUUGUCGGGUAAGUUCCGACCUGCACGAAUGGCGUAAUGAUGGCCAGGCUGUCUCCACCCGAGACUCAGUGAAAUUGAACUCGCUGUGAAGAUGCAGUGUACCCGCGGCAAGACGGAAAGACCCCGUGAACCUUUACUAUAGCUUGACACUGAACAUUGAGCCUUGAUGUGGAAAAAUGAAUACCAAGUCUCAAGAGUGAACACGUAAUUCAUUACGAAGUUUAAUUCUUUGAGCAUCAAACUUUUAAUUGAAGAGUUUGAUCAUGGCUCAGAUUGAACGCUGGCGGCAGGCCUAACACAUGCAAGUCGAACGGUAACAGGAAACAGCUUGCUGUUUCGCUGACGAGUGGCGGACGGGUGAGUAAUGUCUGGGAAACUGCCUGAUGGAGGGGGAUAACUACUGGAAACGGUAGCUAAUACCGCAUAACGUCGCAAGACCAAAGAGGGGGACCUUCGGGCCUCUUGCCAUCGGAUGUGCCCAGAUGGGAUUAGCUAGUAGGUGGGGUAACGGCUCACCUAGGCGACGAUCCCUAGCUGGUCUGAGAGGAUGACCAGCCACACUGGAACUGAGACACGGUCCAGACUCCUACGGGAGGCAGCAGUGGGGAAUAUUGCACAAUGGGCGCAAGCCUGAUGCAGCCAUGCCGCGUGUAUGAAGAAGGCCUUCGGGUUGUAAAGUACUUUCAGCGGGGAGGAAGGAGUAAAGUUAAUACCUUUGCUCA